AUUUUUGCGUGCAUAUGACACGCCAAUCCUUCCCAUUAAUUUCGGUGGAGAGCAGAUGCGUCCAAAUAACACGCAUCAUCUUCAGCGGCAGUGACGUCACCAGCGAGGCUCGUUCAGUUCACCUGAUGCGCGUACACCUUCAAACAGUUACGUCGGAUUACAUACUCCACAACAACCUGUAAUCCAGCAGAUCUUUAAAGAAGCCAUCUCUUGUAAAAUCUCUCUCUCUCUCUCUCUCUCUCUCUCUCUCGCUCUGCUAGAAUUAACAGGGAACUUCAGCUCCACGCUCCCAAUGCUGAUAUUGAAGAAGCUGUCAAGGGGGCUGAACAAGUCCUUCAAAGGAUCAACCCUUCACAGGAAGGCCUGUCAUGAGAUUUGAAUUUGACCAUCUUGUGCAUUUAUGAAGAAGACCAAAAGCUGCAAAGGCAAACACUUCCAAUGGAUUUCUCACAGAUUACUUAACCAUUCUUCAUCAGCUCUUCACAAUAUCAGCCCAUUCAAAAGCUUCCAGAUCUUCCUCUCUUGUGUGACACAUCUGCUCUCAGUCCUUUACUGCCAACCUCCAGUCUUAGCAUUUCUGCUUGUAUUCAUUUUUGCUCUACAUUCAUCACUCCAAUCUCUACUAUAAGCUCUCCUGUAUAUAUAUAUAUAUAUACACAUAAUAAUAAUUAUUAUUAUUAACCAUUUAUUUGUUUUGCAUUUAUUCACAAUAGAAGCAAACAAUGAUUACAGGAUAUAUGUUUUUAAAGGUGAUAAUUGUAAAAUAUUGGAGCAUUGUUCUUAAUCAGUUUUGCCUAUUUGGUUGAUAAAGGGAAGAAAACAAUAUAUUUUCAACUGUAGCCUUGAUUAUUCUUUGGCAUCUUUUGUCAGGAUUUCUGUAAACAAAUUCCCUUUUUAUUUUUGAAUAUUAAACUUAUGUUUUUUGAAGGGAGUUUCUGUUGCAAUUUUGUUUGUUUGUUUUCACUUAGUUACCUCUAUGCAUUUUUUUUUAUCAACUUUUCUUUUUUUUUCAUAGUGGAAUAAACUGGAGAGAGACUGUUCUGGGCACUAUGUUUAUCUGCGAAAAGUUUGACAUAUCAAUAAACACUGUAAAAUGACUAGACAAUGA